rnacentral:piRNA from 1 species
UNCAUUGUGACCGGAAAGUUGGCCUAUUG